rnacentral:tRNA from 1 species
UGGGGUGUCGCCAAGUGGUAAGGCACGGGUCUUUGACUCCCGCACCGUAGGUUCAAUUCCUGCCACCCCAGCCA